GACGAACGCUGGCGGCGUGCCUAACACAUGCAAGUCGAGCGAGUGGAGUUCUUCGGAACAAAGCUAGCGGCGGACGGGUGAGUAACACGUGGGCAACCUGCCUCAUAGAGGGGAAUAGCCUCCCGAAGGGGAGAUUAAUACCGCAUAAGAUUGUAGCUUCGCAUGAAGUAGCAAUUAAAGGAGCAAUCCGCUAUGAGAUGGGCCCGCGGCGCCUUAGCUAGUUGGUGAGGUAACGGCUCACCAAGGCGACGAUGCGUAGCCGACCUGAGAGGGUGAUCGGCAACAUUGGGAAUGAGACACGGACAAGACUCCUACGGGAGGCAGCAGUGGGGAAUAUUGCACAAUGGGGGAAACCCUGAUGCAGCAACGCCGCGUGAGUGAUGACGGCCAUCGGGUUGUAAAGCUCUGUCUUCAGGGACGAUAAUGACGGUACCUGAGGAGGAAGCCACGGCUAACUACGUGCCAGCCGCCGCGGUAAGAC
rnacentral:rRNA from 1 species